AACGAACGCUGGCGGCAUGCCUAACACAUGCAAGUCGAACGAGACCUUCGGGUCUAGUGGCGCACGGGUGCGUAACGCGUGGGAACCUGCCCUUAGGUUCGGAAUAACUCCCCGAAAGGGGUGCUAAUACCGGAUAAUGUCUUCGGACCAAAGAUUUAUCGCCUUUGGAUGGGCCCGUGUUGGAUUAGCUAGUUGGUAGGGUAAAAGCCUACCAAGGCGACGAUCCAUAGCUGGUCCGAGAGGAUGAUCAGCCACACUGGGACUGAGACACGGCCCAGACUCCUACGGGAGGCAGCAGUGGGGAAUAUUGGACAAUGGGCGAAAGCCUGAUCCAGCAAUGCCGCGUGAGUGAUGAAGGCCUUAGGGUUGUAAAGCUCUUUUACCCGGGAUGAUAAUGACAGUACCGGGAGAAUAAGCUCCGGCUAACUCCGUG
rnacentral:rRNA from 1 species